AUUGAACGCUGGCGGCAUGCUUUACACAUGCAAGUCGAACGGUAACAGGCCGCCAGGUGCUGACGAGUGGCGAACGGGUGAGUAAUGCAUCGGAACGUGCCCAGUCGUGGGGGAUAACUACUCGAAAGAGUAGCUAAUACCGCAUACGAUCUAUGGAUGAAAGCGGGGGACCGUAAGGCCUCGCGCGAUUGGCGCGGCCGAUGUCAGAUUAGGUAGUUGGUGGGGUAAAGGCUCACCAAGCCAACGAUCUGUAGCUGGUCUGAGAGGACGACCAGCCACACUGGGACUGAGACACGGCCCAGACUCCUACGGGAGGCAGCAGUGGGGAAUUUUGGACAAUGGGCGCAAGCCUGAUCCAGCAAUGCCGCGUGCAGGAAGAAGGCCUUCGGGUUGUAAACUGCUUUUGUAUGGAACGAAACGGCUCUGGUUAAUACCCGGGGCUAAUGACGGUACCGUAAGAAUAAGCACCGGCCAACUACGUG
rnacentral:rRNA from 1 species